UAUGGCCUAGUGGUUAGAGCGUCUGCCUCAGAUGCGGGAGGUCGUGGGUUUGAAACUCGACCGAGUCAU